GUGUUCAAUUUGUCAGCACAUAUACUAAAAUUGAAAUGAUACCAAGUAAAUUAGCAUGGCCUCUGCAUAAGGAUCCCAUAAAACUUUGUGAAGCAUUACGUAUUUUG
ensembl:snRNA RNU6-129P RNA, U6 small nuclear 129, pseudogene